rnacentral:rRNA from 1 species
GUAGGGAAUAUUGGUUAAUGGGCGAAAGCCUGACCCAGCAACGCCGCGUGAACGAUGAAGGCCUUCGGGUUGUAAAGUUCUUUUGACCGGGAUGAGGAAGGACAGUACCGGUCGAAUAAGUCUCGGCUAACUACGUGCCAGCAGCCGCGGUAACACGUAGGAGACGAGCGUUAUCCGGAUUUACUGGGUGUAAAGCGCGUGCAGGCGGUAUGGUAAGUUGGAUGUGAAAGCUCCCGGCUUAACUGGGAGAGGUCGUACAAGACUGCCAAACUAGAGGACAGCAGAGGGGAGUGGAAUUCCGAGUGUAGCGGUAAAAUGCAUAGAUAUUCGGAAGAACACCAGUGGCGAAGGCGGCUCUCUGGGCUGUACCUGACGCUCAGACGCGAAAGCUAGGGUAGCAAACGGGAUUAGAAACCCCAGUAGUCC